GGGGUGCUAGCUCAGUUGGUUAGAGCGUUACGUUGACAUCGUAAAGGUCAGUGGUUCGAGUCCACUGCAUCCCA
rnacentral:tRNA from 1 species